UAUUUCAGUGCAGCCGUCAGACAGAAAGUCUGUUUGUGUCUGUUCAGGCUGUUCAGUGCAGUUCAGUGGUAGCUGGUGGUAGCAACGGUAGCGAGUGGUAGCCCCAUAUAUAAUUUCCUGUAUACUUUAUAUAGUCUUACAAUAGUCUUAUUGAGAGUUGAAGAGUCUUAAAGUCAACACAAUACAUCAGUCAAUAUGUUGCGUCAGCCAUUGCGUUGCCUAUUGCGUCAGCCAUUCAUAAAAUCUGUUAAAAUCGCACAGUUUCCGGUUAAAAAUUUUUCGCAACCGAUCCCAAAAGUACUUCAAAGAUCAUAUGGAAAAUUUCAAAUACACGUUGAGCCCUACACGAAACACCCGAAACACGACCACGCAACCAAGCGACGAAGCGAUCUCUUUCUUAUCUUUCUUAUCAUCUUGAUCUUAUAUUUAUGAGUAAUAAUUCAAGAAGAAGAAGAAGAGAGUAAUUUAGUAACGACUGCAUUCUCUUGGAACUGCAUUCUACUGCUCUUUGAUUAAUUAAAUUUUUUUCUAAUUAUAAAAUAAUAACGUAUUAUUUGAUAAAUCAAU